rnacentral:siRNA from 1 species
GGCGACUGUCGCUACUUUUGGUC